rnacentral:sRNA from 1 species
GGAUGUGAAGGCGAUCUGGCUACGAUGUCUGUGACCCCAUUGAUCACCAGGGUUGAUUUGGCUGAUCUGGCUGGCUAGGCGGGUGUCCCCUUCCUCCCUCACCACUCCAUGUGUCUCUCUCCUGAAGCUGCGCGCUCAAAGAGGACCACCUUCCCCAAUAGAGGAGGACCGAUCUUCGGUCAAGGGUAUAUGAGUAGCCAUGCUCCCCUGCUAGAACCUCCAAACAAGCUCUCAAGCCAGCAACUCCUGUCUCUUCCAUUUCCACACCCAGUUAGUCACU